rnacentral:rRNA from 1 species
UCUACUGAUGUUCUCUGUUCGACUUUGUGUUUUCUUUUUUUUUAAAUGGUACGGCAACAACCUAUAUCUACACCUCUCUAUUCGUCGGCAGCGUCAGAUGUGUAUAAGAGACAGCCGUAAGGCUAAAUACUACUCAGUGACCGAUAGCGUAUAGUACUGUGAAGGAAAGGUGAAAAGAACCCCGGGAGGGGAGUGAAAGAGAACCUGAAACCCUGUGUCUACAAGCUGUGGAAGUACUUCUCAGGUACGACCGCGUACUUUUUGUAGAACGGUCCGGCGAGCUGCGGGUACUGGCAAGGUUAAGCACUUCAGGUGCGGAGCCGUAGGGAAACCAAGUCUUAAGAGGGCGUUUUAGUCAGUACGUGCAGGCCCGAAACCGGGUGACCUAUCCAUGUCCAGGUUGAAGCCGCCGUAAAAGGCGAUGGAGGACCGAACCCACAUCCGUUGAAAAGGGUGGGGAUGAGGUGUGGAUAGCGGAGAAAUUCCAAUCGAACCCGGAGAUAGCUGGUUCUCCUCGAAAUAGCUUUAGGGCUAGCCUCAUACAAGUCUGCCGGAGGUAGAGCACUGAAUUUCCGCGGGGGCGUCAAAGCCUACCAAAGAAUAUCAAACUCCGAAUGCCGGACAGAUGGUGUAUGGGAGUCAGACUGUACGAGAUAAGUUGGACAGUCAAAAGGGAAAGAGCCCAGACCGCCGGCUAAGGUCCCAAAGUGGGUGUUAAGUGGAAAAGGAUGUGGGAUCUCUAAGACAACCAGGAUGUUGGCUCAGAAGCAGCCAUUCAUUAAAAGAGUGCGUAACAGCUCACUGGUCGAGAGGUCCUGCGCCGAAAAUGUCCGGGGCUGAAACACCACACCGAAGCCGCGGAACCCGUAAGGGUUGGUAGAGGAGCAUUCUUAGGGGAGCGAAGCAUUACCGGAAGGGGAUGUGGACCGCUAAGAAGAGAGAAUGCCGGAAUGAGUAGCGAGAGCAAGGUGAGAAUCCUUGCGGCCGAAUAUCCAAGGUUUCCAGAGUAAAGCUGAUCUGCUCUGGGUAAGUCGGGGCCUAAGGAGAGGCAGAGAUGCGUAUCCGAUGGACAGCAGGUUUAAGAUUCCUGCACCCCUUGUUAUCAGAACUGCGGGGACACGGGAAGGGAAGCAGAGCCGGGAAUGGAAAGCCCGGUGCAAGCGAAGUAGUCGCAGGGUUGGAAAAUCCGCCCUGCAUGAGACGAAGGCGUGAUGCGGAGCGAAAUGAAGUAGUGAAGCUGCGGCCCCUUCCUGUCGAGAAAAGCCGCUAUCGUGUAGCAAGGGCCCGUACCGUAAACCGACACAGGUGGAUGAGGAGAGGAUCCUAAGGCCGGCGGGAGAAGUGUUGUUAAGGAACUCGGCAAAAUGACUCCGUAACUUCGGGAGAAGGAGUGCUGCGCAAGCAGCCGCAGAGAAAUGGCCCAAGCAACUGUUUAGCAAAAACACAGGUCUAUGCGAAACCGAAAGGUGAGGUAUAUGGGCUGACGCCUGCCCGGUGCUGGAAGGUUAAGGGGAGAGCUUAGCGCAAGCGAAGGUUUGAACUUAAGCCCCAGUAAACGGCGGCCGUAACUAUAACGGUCCUAAGGUAGCGAAAUUCCUUGUCGGGUAAGUUCCGACCCGCACGAAAGGCGUAAUGAUUUGGGCACUGUCUCAACAACACACCCGGUGAAAUUGAAAUACCAGUGAAGAUCUGUCUCUUAUACACAUCUCCGAGCCCACGAGACAGGCAGAAAUCUCGUAUGCCGUCUUCUGCUUGAAAAAAAAAAAAAACAAAGGUAAAACAUGACUCU